rnacentral:rRNA from 1 species
AUUGAACGCUGGCGGCAGGCCUAACACAUGCAAGUCGAACGAGUGGCGGACGGGUGAGUAAUGUCUGGGAAACUGCCAGAUGGAGGGGGAUAACUACUAGAAACGGUAGCUAAUACCGAAUAAUAUCGGAUGUGCCCAGAUGGGUUUAGCUAGUAGGUGGGGUAAAGUCUCACCUAGGCGACGAUCCCUAGCUGGUCGGAGAGGAUGACCAGCCACACUGGACGUGAGACACGCUCCAGACUCCUACGGGAGGCAGCAGUGGGGAAUAUUGCACAAUGGGCGCAAGCCUGAUGCAGCCAUGCCGCGUGUAUGAAGAAGGCCUUCGGGUUGUAAAGUACUUUCAGCGGGGAGGCGUUACCCGCAGAAGAAGCACCGGCUAACUCCGUGCCAGCAGCCGCGGUAAUAC